CCUCUCAUCUCCACAGCACUGAGAGGUGGGUGCACAGAUACAACUCAUACGUAAAUAUGCAGAUAUAAACCAUCGCAGACUGCUAUGCCAACAGAGAACAUACACAUCAAAUACAUUAAGUUUUCUAUUCAGAGAAAAUGAUGGCAGUCUAACAUGCGCAAUUGUCAUCUUGAAGGCUUCACGGAUAUCGUACUACACAAAAUGAAAAAGCAGCUCUUUAGUUAAGAUCUUGGCUGUACGGAGGGGCACUAUGGGAGGUGGAAGAGCAUCACAGCGCAGGUCCGAGACAAAGA